ACAAUUAGUUGGAGCUUCUUUGGUCAACAGCAGAUGUGACUAAGAAAAUCACGCUGUUUCAUUUAGAGCAGUGGAUCACCAAGUGUGGUCCUCAGGCCACACAGCUCGGCAUUACCUAGGAACUAGGAAAUGCAAGUUCGUAAGCAACCCCACCCAGACCUACUGAAUUGGAAGUGCUGAGGAUAGGGUCCAGCAAUCUGUGGUUGAACAAGCUCUGCAGAGCUUUGCAGAACAGAUCACCAUAACAACCACCAUCCUGGGAGACAGCGAAAGAACAGAGAGAAACAUCCUUUUUAUUUGCCUGAAAAUCAAGGGCCAGCAGGGAAACGGGUCUUUUCAUCAAAGCUUGUUUUGGUAUCUCCCAAGUUGGAGGGUCCAUGUGUCAAGGGACGGCAGUGGAAGAAGUCAACACGUUUAACAGACUACACCCAAUAUUUGUGAUUUUUAGGGAUCAGGCAUCCAGGAGCAGAGCUGUGGGGCAGCAGAAUCCGUGAUGACAGAGAA
rnacentral:antisense_RNA from 1 species